CCCUUGGUAGUCUAGUUGGUUAUGGCGUUCGGCUGUAAUAGUUCACGCGGUCCUCUGGGUUGAAUCCCGGACGACGGGCAGAUUAGAGUCACCGAAAAGUCACCGGUUCGAUUCCGGUCCGAGGGA